CUACGGCUACUAUGAAGCUACGCUACCGGCAGUCGAACGGAGAGUGGAGCUUGCUCCAUGAUUCAGCGGCGGACGGGUGAGUAAUGCCUAGGAAUCUGCCGGGUAGUGGGGGACAACGUUUCGAAAGGAACGCUAAUACCGCAGACGUCCUACGGGAGAAAGCAGGGGACCUUCGGGCCUUGCGCUAAAAAAAAAAAACCCUAAGUCUGGAAAAAAGCUUAGUCGGGGGGGAAAAAAGCCUUACCAAGGCGGACGAUUCCGUAAAUGGUCUUGGAGAGGAUUGAUCAGUUCACAACGGGAAAUUGAGACACCGUUCCAAGACUCAUACGGGAGGCAACCAGUGGGGAAUAUUGGACAAUGGGCGAAAAGCCUGAUCCCAGCCCAUGCCGCGGUGUGUGAAGAAGGUCUUCGGGAUUGUAAAGCACUUUAAGUUGGGAGGAAGGGCAGUAAGUUAAUACCUUGCUGUUUUGACGUUACCAACAGAAUAAGCACCGGCUAACUUCGUGCCAGCAGCCGCGGUAAUACGAAGGGUGCAAGCGUUAAUCGGAAUUACUGGGCGUAAAGCGCGCGUACGUGGUUUGGUAAGAUGGAUGUGAAAUCCCCGGGCUCAACCUGGGAACUGCAUCCAUAACUGCCUGACUAGAGUACGGUAGAGGGUGGUGGAAUUUCCUGUGUAGCGGUGAAAUGCGUAGAUAUAGGAAGGAACACCAGUGGCGAACGCGACCACCUGGACUGAUACUGACACUGAGGUGCGAAACCGUGGGGAGCAAACAAGAUUAGAUACCCUGCUACUCCACGCCGUAAACGAUGUCGACUAACCCUUGGAAUCCUUGACAUUUUAAUGGCGCAGCUAACGCGAUAAGUCGACCGCCGGGGGAGUACGGCCCCAACGUUAAAACUCAAAUGAAUUGACGGGGGCCCGCACAAACAAUCGAGCAUGUGGUUUAAUUCGAACCAACGCGAAAAAACUUACCUGGCCUUGACAUGUCCAGAACCUUGCAGAGAUACGAAGGUGCCUUCGGGAAUCGGAACACAGGUACUACAUAGCUGUCGUCAGCUCCUGUCGUGAGAUGUUGCGUUAAGUCCCGUAACGACCGCAACCAUUGUCCUUAGUUACCAGGCACCUCGGGUAGAGGCACUCUAAGGCAGACUGCCGGUCACAAACCGGACCAAGGCGCCGCAAGGAUGACGUCAAGUCAGCAGGGCCCUUACGGCCAGGGCUACACACGCGCCCCAUACAAUAGAAGAUCGGUACAGAGGGUUGCCAAGCCGCGAGGGGGAGCUAACCCCCCGACAAAACCGAAAAAAAUCACAAAAGGAACGCAGUCAGCAACGCGAUUGCGUGAAGCGGGAAUCGCGUUCUAAUCCUGAAUCAGAAUGUCACGGUGAAUACGUUCACCGGGCCUUGUACACACCGCCCGUCACACCAUGGGAGUGGGUUGCUCCAGAAGUAGCUAGUCUAACCGCAAGAGCCGGUACCAGUAGGGAUACU
rnacentral:rRNA from 1 species